rnacentral:rRNA from 1 species
GAUGAACGCUGGCGGCGUGCCUAAUACAUACAAGUCGAGCGAACAGACGAGGAGCUUGCUCCUCUGACGUUAGCGGCGGACGGGUGAGUAACACGUGGAUAACCUACCUAUAAGACUGGGAUAACUUCGGGAAACCGGAGCUAAUACCGGAUAAUAUAUUGAACCGCAUAGUUCAAUAGUGAAAGACGGUUUUGCUGUCACUUAUAGAUGGAUCCGCGCCGCAUUAGCUAGUUGGUAAGGUAACGGCUUACCAAGGCAACGAUGCGUAGCCGACCUGAGAGGGUGAUCGGCCACACUGGAACUGAGACACGGUCCAGACUCCUACGGGAGGCAGCAGUAGGGAAUCUUCCGCAAUGGGCGAAAGCCUGACGGAGCAACGCCGCGUGAGUGAUGAAGGUCUUCGGAUCGUAAAACUCUGUUAUUAGGGAAGAACAAAUGUGUAAGUAACUAUGCACGUCUUGACGGUACCUAAUCAGAAAGCCACGGCUAACUACGUG